GGCAGCUGAGGCCGAGCCUCCACGGGCGGAGGGGGCAUUCACUGAGUUGCCUUUGUAUUGCUGGGAGGACCAAGCGGAGGUUCCCACUAUGCAGCCCGGAGUCUGUGCGGCCAGAUGACGCAUGAGAUAAGCCUCAAGUGGCUUAAUGAGAACUCGAAGAACAUCAAGUUGGGAACUGGGAGAUGUGGAUUCUAGCCAGGAAUGCCACUAACUCACCGCAUACUCUGGGUUUUUCUGGAGGUUCCACUGAGAUAUUGUCUUUGCUGUCCAUCACAUGGAUGCCAGCCUUGAGCAGAUGUGAUACCACAGAGGCCCCUUGUGCCUUGCUGUCCAUAGCUUGUAGACUCAGUGCCAAUGUGGGGAAGUCCAAUCUGUUCUCAGACCACCAGAGCGUCUCUCUGCCUCUUCUAAAACCCCUCUGUAUCGGUCCAGCCAUAUUGUUGCCUAUAGCAGGAUUUCAUUCUUUUUAAUAGCACUUUGAACAUAUCAUGCCACUUGCUUCUGGCCCACAAAGUUUCUGCUGAAACAUCGACAGAUAGUCUUACAGGUUUUCCGUUGCAGCACCACAGAGCAGCUGUAGACUCACUGAAGUAGGAAGCCUUUCAAAAUGACUGGACUUUCCUGCCAUGGUGUCCAGACCCUGCUCUGGUCCAGGCUUCCAAGGACAUUUGUUGACUACUGUAGACAGCAUGGAAAAGUUCAACAUCAUAGAAUCUAAAGACCUGUGUGGACCUGGCCAAGCUGACCAAGUCCAGAGAAAAUGUCCCUUGAAGUAGGUAUAUUUUGGGUUCAUUUGAUAAUAAGAUGAAGAAUAGAGCUUUGUCAACUAUAAAGCACCAUGAAAAAUUGAGAAUUAAUAUUUCUACCUUAUGAAUAUAUUCAAGAUGAUCCCUUACUUGGAGAUAAUGGCUCAGAGAGAUUAUUUAAAGAGAAAACUGGAAAUAUUUUGACAUUUUUUAUGUGUUGGGGAUGACAGGAAGCCAAAGAUGUUACAUUUUCAAGGUUAGUGAAUGUGAUUGUGAUGGAGUGAUGGUGUCAUACAUUGAAAAAAGGAUCAUAGGAAAAGAUGUUUUAUUUUGAAAUUGAGAUAUAAUUCAUGUAACAAAAUUCAUGCUUUUAAACUACAAAAUUCAGUGGUUUUUGAUAUAUUCACAGAGUUGUGUAACCAUCACCCUAUCUACUUUAGAAUGUUUUUAUUACCCCAAAAGAAACUUCAUACCCAUUACGGAUUAUUUCCCGUCUCCUUCUAUCCCAUUCCCUGGCAACCAUUAAUCUAUUUCUGUCUUGAUGGAUUUGAAUAUUCUGGAAAUUUCAUAUAAAUGGACCAUAUAAUUUCUGUCUGCUUCUUUCAUUUAGCAUCACCUUUUCAAAGUUCAUCUAUAUUAUACCAUGUGUCAGUAUUUCAUUCACUUUUAUGGCUGAGUAAUAUUCUAUUGUAUAGAUAUACCACAUUUUGUUUACUCACUCAUCAAUUGGUGGAUACUUGGGUUGCUUCUACUUUUUGGUAUUCCAAAUAAUGAUCUAUGAAUAUUAAUGUACCAAUUUUUGUGCAGAACUAUGUUUUAACUUUUUUGGGGAAUAUACCUAGCAUUAUAAUUGCUAGAUUGUAUGAUAACUCUAUGUUUGAUAUUUUUAGGGAUCCCCAAACUAUUUUCCAGAGUGGCACAAAAGAGAAAAACUUUAGGUGAGAGUUAACUUGGUUUUGUACAUGUUGAAUUUGGAGUGUUUUCAAGACAUCCAGGAGGCUAUUUUGGGGAAGGAUAUUUGCUAUAUGGGUUUUAGGCUUAGGCGAAUAGUAUGAAUUUGAGAAGUAGAUUUUGGCAUCAUCAACAUGUAGAGCUAGAGAAAAAAGAAAGCAAGAGUUCACCCAACGAAAGUAUUUAGAGAGAAAAUAGUAGGGAAAUAAGGGCACAUAAAUAAGAACUACAUCUCUAAAGUCAAUUCAGACAAGUAAGCUUGGUCUGUGUGAAGGAAGACAGGAAAGGGGAGAUUAAUUAGGACUUGGUAGGCAAUAAUCAGGAUAUUUUUCUGAUAACAAAAAGAUUUGCAUGACAUGAAGGAUUUCACUGACAGAGAUGAACAUACAGAGAAAAGAGAAUGGCAUUUUGAUGUGGGAUCUUAAAUCUUAGAUGAGAAGAAAUCUACCAAGCAGAAGAAUGUGGAAAAGGCUUUUCAAGCAUGGGAAACAGCAUGCGUAAAGACACUUGUUUAAAGCAUAUGAUGAACUCAGGAUAGUUAUACAAUUAACAUUCAUUUGGUGGUUACUCUCUGCCAGCACUGAAUUAGGUGCUUCACCAGAUGAUCUCAUUUAAACUUUACAAAAGCUUUCAUUUUAGAGAUAUGGAAGUAGACUCAAGGAUGUUAUGUACUGAGCCAAGGUCACAUAGCUGGGAAGUGGUAGGAUCCAGAUAUGAACCAAGAUAAUUUUAUUUCAGAGCCUAUACUCCUGUACAGUGAAAUAUCUAAAUACUUGUAAGUAUCAGGUAUUAAGUACCAGUAUUCAACAUUAAUGUUGUGCUCCUGGUAGCUCAUUUGGUGCCUCCAGUCCUGGUCCUUACUCGAUGAUUUGAUGGCUCACUUGGUAUGCUCUUCAUUGUUCUUAAUUUUAGGUCAGGGGCUCCAAAACAUCAAAUUCAUUUGGGAAGUACUUAAAGUAUCUUGGCCCUUCUAUAAGAUUUACAUUCUUCAAGAUGAGGCAACACUUAUGACUGAGUACCCCUCAGAUGAUUAUGCUGCAUCCAGCCUGGCUCCUGUACUAGGUCUGUCAUUAAGGACUCAUUUCCUAGAGUCCUCAGAUGCCCAAACUGGAAGACAGUACUUCCUAACUUCCCAAGUUCAUUUGCUGAAAUAGUAGAAAAGGCUAAAGGUGGUGGUUCUGGCCAUUCUGAACCUUAUUUAUUCCAGAAGUUAUUUUCUUUCUUACUUAUUAAAUACGUAUUAAGCACCCAUCAUGUACUAGGUGCUUUCACUGGAACUGACUUAUGUCUCAAAAUAUCUCUAGGAAAUGUGUCAUGUUAUUCUAGCUUGACAUAAGAAGGAAUUUAAAUGUAGAGAACUUAAGUAACUUGGCAUGGUUUACAGGACUAGUAAGAACUAAGAUUUAAGCAGAUAUUCAGAAUUCAAGUCCUGGGCCCUCCUACCCUCCCAGACAAUCUUUCCUAUGGGAAAUGUUUAAGAAUAGGAUUAAUCUACUUACUAGGUUUCCAUUAAUAUAUCCUUCAUUUCUACAAUGUGUAAGGACUCAUACAAGUCUACCUAUAAGAAAAUUCUAAGCUAUAUACUGGUACACUUCCUUAUGUGACUUAUAUGUUUUCAAAAGAAAUUUUAAAAGUUUGAAUUCCUCCUCCUCUAAUAUGCAAAUCAGAGCCAUCAUGUGGUCUGAGGCCACAGUCCAUUGAAGGAUCACAGACCUUGUUGGCAGAGGAAAAUAAACCCCAACAGUUGGAGCUGCAAGCCAUCUGUCCUUAGUAUUUCACAUUUUGUCAAAAAUCAUCAGCAUAGCUGGAAAAUAGCUGUGACCAACUAAUAUUACUAAAAUAUAAAGUAUGAUUAAAUGGAAUACUCAAACUGUUUAUUCAGAGAUAAAAUAUAUAUUCUUUGAAAUUUUGGAAGGACACUAAGAAUUAUGGAAAAUAUUCACAUUGCAAAGUUAGUACAGAGUAUUUGAUGGUGUAUUGGAAGAAAAUGGAUUUAAGAAUCUUGGUUUCUUACACUAGAACUGCAAUUGACUUUAGAGACCGUUUAACUAAACUUCUUUGUUUUAUAAGUGAGAAAAAUGAGAUCAAAAGAGAUUAAAUGGAUUGUCCAAAGUCAAAAAGUACUUAAAAAAAUGGCAUCUCAAUCUUGUCAGUGAUAUGAAAAUAGAGUCAGACAAUUGUUAUUAUUAUUGCUAAAAUAAAUAGUUCCAAUUUAUUGGAUGCUUAUGAUUUUGAGAACUUUAUAUAUAUCAACUUAUUCAAUCUAUAUAGCAAAUCUAGAUGGUAAAUAUUAUCAUUGCCCUCUAUGGAGGAAAACCUGAGGUUCAUGAAGGUCAGGAACUUGCCACAUUGACUCUAUACAGAUAUACAGAUGGUACAGAUAAGCAAAUGUGGAAGAAGCAAAAGUUCUUUCUUGGGUCAAAGGCCAUGUAAUAAUAAAGAACAAUGAAAUUAAAAAAAUCACCAGUUGGCAAGCAUCAUCAUAUUUAUUGCUAAGGGAAGAAUCAUAAGAUGAUAAAACUAAUGGUUAAAACAUUAAUGAGAUUAAGAUAUUUACUUAGAUCCAAAAGUUUUGUCCCAUAGAUAAUUACAGAUUAAAAAUGAAAAUAAUAGUAUUUUAAAACUGGAAGAACCCAGAGAUUUCAUCCUAACAAAUGACCAAAGUCAUUUGGACAAAGAAUAUGUUCUUUCUGACCUCAUGUGUUGAGAAGGACAUAACAUCACCUCUGGGAUAUUCCUGUCAAAAAUGUAUAACCUGAAACUGAAAAAUGAGAAACAUUCUAAAAUAUGUCUGUCUUAUUCUUUUAAAAAUUGUCAAUGUCAUGAAAGACAAAGACUGAAUGCAACAGGAGAUUUGAGAUUUUCUUUAGAUAUGAAGGACAAGAUAGGGGUAAGUGGAAAAGUAUUGAAUGCAACCUGAAGGUUAGAUAAUAGAAUUAGAUCAAUGUUAAUUUUCUGAUUUUGUAAUUGUUCUAGUUAUGCAAUAAAAUUUCCUUGUUUUUAGAAAAUGCACACUGAAUUAUUAAC